CGAGUAGCGGGCGCAGCGAUGUCUGCGCCGCCCCACCUAUUCUUGCGGUCGCAGCUGCGCAACCUAUAACGGCUCUAGAAAAAGGGGAAGGGGUACUCGACAACGUAGAAGAGGGCGGCACCUGCGACGACGGCAGUAGCGGCGGUACGGCGUGCGCAUCGGUGUCUCGUGGGGCUUAGAUCGGUGGCGCAGGCAGUCGAGGUGGCAACCGACGAAGCAGUAGGUGUAGCUGGACAACCUCGGCCCUUGGGGACGUAGUUCGGGACACUGCAGCAGAAGAAGGAGCUGGGGUUGCUUGAAGCAGUAGCUAAGGCCGUUGCAGCUGGGGAGGGGCUCGGGUGGAACGAGUAGAUGUCCGAGUGAUACGACCUCGGGUCCUCCGUCUGCGGUGGCAGCUGUUACUGAGGAUGAUGUGACCUCCACGGAUGAUGAUGCACGUCCGGCUACUGCUGCUGAUCCUCAUCAAAUCCUCCUAGGGUCCGUCCUCCGGACGCGGAGAAAGCUAGACAUAGGGUCAAACACGAUCGGUAGAAUACCGUUGAACAAAUUGAAUACAGACAUGAGUCUAUAACAACGAAGGCGACCGAACAAAUACAGC
rnacentral:rRNA from 1 species